UAGUCUUAAUAUCGGGUAUGAUUUACGUUAGUCUUAAUAUCGGGUAUGACUUACGUUAGUCUUAAUAUCUCAGUUCCCCACUUUUUCUAUUCUAAAUCAAUCAUCCGGACGCAAUCGAGUAAACUUUCCAAGUGUUGACCUCAUUUUCUAGGAAAGACUAAAACCAACUGCCUCAGCCCUUGGCCCCAGGACUGCCGCAUUUUAACACUCCCCUGAGCCUCUUUUUCCUUUCUCCUGGGACCGGUGUCACUUGUCUGUUCUCUCACCAGGACCGUAUGUCACAACGAACACGACUCGUCACUUGGUGGGACCACUCUGCUCGCAGUGAAGAGUCUGUUGGGAAAGUUGUCCAGACAGCAGGCGCGGGGCUGUGCCAGGUUCACGGCAUCACGUGGGCGAUCCGGUCCCCCGUCAACUGUGCACGUUUCACACCUGUGGCCUCGUGGAAGGUCUCACGGCUGACUGCCACCUUGUCAGGUGACCUUGACCGCAGCUCCUAUUGGGUUUUGUCUGGAUUUGCCUUGGGGGUAUGUGCCCAUCUCUCUGCCUCAACCUGUCCGUCUCUCACGAGCGUGACAGCCACCUUUGCUCUCGAUCUGACGUGUCUGCAGAAGCGUCUCGAACGUGCACGUACCUGCCCGCCUGCCCGCCCCGCUCCACGGUGACCUCCUCCCAGCCUCUGGCCCUGUCUGUAAGGCCGUUGACCUGCGUCCCAGAGAGGUCACAGAAUCCGUGGUCAGCGGACGGGACAGAGAGAUUCUUCGGCCGAGCUGGAGGAAACGAACAGCUGGAAGGUGAAGCGUUCGUGAGGGGGGCCCCGCAGCAGAGGACCGGGCAGACCCAGCCUUCCUCGGGAGCUCAGACGGCAUCUGCAGGCACCCCGACUCGGACAACGCCGGCCAUUCAGUCUCCCACGCCGGCUCGGGUCCUCGGGACGUACCCUGGGUGAGACGGGGGGUAGGCUCUUCUCUUGAGAGGGGUUGAUUUCUACGUGCUGUGGAAUUAAAGACUAGGUUGGAGAUACCAUUCUGAAGGACCGGCCUCCUGUUCCAAACCACGGAAGCAUUUCGUUGCUCACGUAGACAAAUCUCUGACUGGCCCACGUAACUAGCCCUCCCAAUAUGCCUGGUCACAGCCCCACGGUCGUGGGGAGAUCUUGGCUGGAGACUAGGUCUCCGGAGACACAGAGAUGAGGGAGGUUAUAUUGAAAGGGCUGCCCUGGCCUGGAGAGCCAAUGGAUUAUUCACUGGGAAAUCAGAACGCUGAUAGAAAUUUAUAAAAGCUCCGUUCCCAAAGGAGCUUGGUUUGUGUUGACUGGUCACGUCCAUUCGAAACGGCUUUGCCGUGAUCCCUGUUCUCCAGGAGGUGAGGCUAUCGCUGGAGCAAGGCCGAGCUGUGAUUGAUGGUUCAUCCUUUCUGUUCUCAGUAAGACCCAGGCGGAGGGCUGAGGGUUGCCCUGGGGAGGCACUGGGCGAGACUUCCACAUUUAUCUGCAUCAGGGCCGGCAGACCCAGUAAUUUCAUUUGCUCCAUUUCCUAUACAAUUUAUAGGACGGUCAUUAAGCAGCAGGAAAGGACAGAGGUCAGAAUAUGUGAGAACGUCAGUGAAAGUUCUCGGCUGGCCAGUGGGAUCAAAAGGAAUCCGAAAGGUCCGCCGCAAGGACUUACGCAACGGUGUGAAACAAGGCCGUAAACCCCUCCGUGAUGCGUCAUCCUUUGAGCCAAUGUUCUUCAGGAGAUUUUGUUACAAAACCGAGACGUCAAGCCCGUCAAUAAAGACUGCCUAAUCACUCUGUCGCCACGUGGUAUAUAUCACACGUUUAAGUCUCAGCCUCACAGGAGUCCGCAUCGAAGAGGUUACGUCCAGCACAAUCAAGAUGAAUGUCUGGCCCGUAUCGGACGCUGAUGCGUUUCCAGUGACGUUCCAGGAAGCUCUCCUCCGUGCUGACUUAGAGACCCUGCUUCCUUCCUUCCUUCCUGUGGCCCUACCAUGUCAACCCGUGACCCCCACGAUCAUGGCCAGAGGGGACAAGGUACUUGGGAAACAGCAGGUGCAGGAAGGACACUUUGCACCCGCUUUGGCCCCAGAUAAGACAACGAACCAUGUCACUUCUUCACCAUUUACUACCCAUAGCCCAAAGCCCUUUGUCUUAUCAAUUCUUCACAAAUUUACUUUUGGUUUUUGUUUAAAAACGGAUUUGUUUAAUGACAGACGAGCAAACACAUGAGGGGCACCCGGGUGGCUCAGUCGGUUAAGCGUCCGACUUCCACUCGGGUCGUGAUCUCACAGUCGGUGAGUUUGAGCCCCGCGUCGGGCUCUGUGCCGACAGCUCGGAGCCUGGAGCCCGUUUCAGAUUCUGUGUCUCCCUCUCUCUCUGCCCCUCCCCCGCUCAUCCUCUCUUUCUCCCUCGCUAAAAAAAUAAAUAAACAGUAAAAAUAAUUUUUUAAAAAAACAACACAUGAAUGGAUGUGCUAAUUCAUUCCAUACCAUCCUAGCACAUUUGCUUACGCUCCCUGGCCCUGCCCUGACAGCUCAUCCCGGGAUAGGUCAAGUUGGGAAUUCUAGUCUGGGAAUUCUACAUUAUGUUGGCUUGGAGGGGACAGAGCAGAAAGGCUAUGGACAGCAGGAGAGGAAUAGAAAGGUUUUAAAUGAGGAUGGCCACGGGUUUCUGCCAGGAGAGAGGAAGAACAGGAAAGGGUCAGCACAGCUUUCAGAAUAAAUGAUCCCAGAUUUUCGCCAGCACAACGUGGUUCGUGUUAUCCCCACAUCUCUGCCGAUGGCCUUCUCCACUUCACGGCCAUUUGGACAUCAUUUGAAGCCCAUUCCGUAAUUGUUCUUGUGCGAAGCUUCCUUUAUGCAGAAAAACGAUAAUGCAGUUAGGAUGCUCUCAAAAGUCCUGGGGGAAAUUAAUUUGUUUACAGGAUUGUGUUUCAUCGUAUGGUGAAACCAACAAGGAACGACCGGCCCUCUCUGAAGGGCCGAGUGGAGCCACCAGGCAGGCGACGUUUGCGGGGUCCAUCUUCAACCACGGCCGCCCAGACUCGUCAUUCUUUGGAGCGCUGGGUGUCGUGGUCAAAUCCUCCCACGCUGCUGUUCUCGGUCACACGCGCUCGGCUCUCCGUUCCGGAGUCUGUUAGCCUUCCCGGGCCCGAUGCGUGCCGCACGGACAGACACCCUUCGGCAAUCAGUCCCUGCCGUUUCCCUGUCCACGUCCUCGUGGAGCUUUUCUCUCUGUUUUGCCACCGCCCAAGUGGUUUCCUGACGCUGGGCGUUAUUCCUACUCCCUGCGCCUUGCUCUGGAAGGGAAUCGGGGACAGCAUUCAAGCGGAUGGCACAGGGGGCACCGAGGUGAGAUACAAGCUCAAGUCAGCGAGAGGCCUUGUAUCCCGUGAGAGCGCACCCAACAGGAAAAAUCUCCAAGGGACGGCACCUAAUGGCACCUCGUCUCCUCUAUCACGUAGUCCGCAUUAUCACAGUUUCCAAAUUAGCAGCGUAGAAACGUAAUAAGACGCUAUCAUAAUCAGCGACGGUUUGUCUUCCUUUUUUAACCCCGGGAAAAGUACCGUUUAACAAAUUUCUUCUCUCCUGCAGUUGGGCUGGGCCCGCACGUUCAAUUCCACGGCACCGCCCGGUUCAACGAUCAGCCGGCUUCCCCGUGAGCUCUGGGAAGGAAUCCCUGGAUCUCUGGGCCUUGGCAGGCUUCUUCCCCCACCCACAGCCGACUGCGGUGAAUGCACACAGUUAGAUGCUGUACGGGCGAUCGGCCACUGCUCAAGCUUGUUGUGGCUCCUUAGGAAGAAGGAAGGCAAUUUUGAAGUUUUAUUUGUAUUUGCGGCAAUGUUAGAGAGCACACAGAGCGUGUCUAUCGGGCAGUUAAGAAAUAGCCUUGCAAAAAAAACAAAAAGAAAUAGCCUUGCAGUAUACCCCCUUUGCAAAUUCUUUACAUGAAUCAGGUCAGUCAUCAUGAAAUAAACAGUUCUGAAACCACUCUAAUCACACUUUGAUGCUGAAGUUACAAUAAGGUUAAUGAUCGCGGUAGUAAGGGUCAUAACACUUGUUCGUAUAGAAUCGCUAAGCUCGAACCAUUCCGGCCACACUUUCACAGUGAGAUUUAAGUCGCAAGACGAUUUGGAGCCCCUGGCGGGGGGAGGUGGGGGGGUUGCUCUGUCGAUUAAGGGUCCGACCUCAGCCCAGGUCAUGAUCUCACAGAUCGAGAGUUCCAGCCCCGCGUCAGGCUCUGUGCUCACAGCUCAGAAGCUGGAGCCUGCUUCGGAUUCUGUGUCUCCCCCGCCCCCACAAAUAAAAUAAAUAAAUAAAUAAAUAAAUAAACAAACAAACAUUAAAUCACAAUACAAUUAUAGACAUAAUGAUAAAACAGACUUGCCAGUUUUGAGCUCCUACUACCCUCCAGGCACUGUGCUAAGCCCAUCACACACAACGGCACAUACAACCCUUCGAGGUUACUUCUACUCUGUAGGUGGAGACCUAAAGGCUCGAGGACGGUCUGUGACGGCUCCAAGGUCACCCAGCCAGCAGACAGCACAGCUGUGUUUCAUCACUAGACUAUCCAACUCCAAGGUGGUCGCAUAUUAUCGUGGUUGAUGAAUUCGAUUCUUAGCGGAAACAACAAAUGAUAGACCCAGCGUUUACUGGUCACACAAGUUAGAGUAAGCCGUGUCUUUCUUAGAGAAAGAUGUAAUAUGUAAACCAUUUUUUUUUUUAGCUUCUAUAGAAAAGUGUAAAAUCCCAGAGUUGUAAGAAAGAACUUCACAGCAUUCGUGUGAUGGUAUUUAAGAUAAGAAUAGAGGGGCGCCUGGGUGGCGCAGUCGGUUAAGCGUCCGACUUCAGCCAGGUCACGAUCUCGCGGUCCGUGAGUUCGAGCCCCGCAUCAGACUCUGGGCU